UUUCCGUAGGUGAACCUGCGGAGGGAUCAUUACAGAGUUCAUGCCCUACCGGGUAGAUCUCCCACCCUAUGUUAUUAUUACUUUGUUGCUUUGGCGGGCCGUUAGGCUCCGGCCCGACUACCGGCCCCGGCUGGUAAGCGCCCGCCAGAGGACCCAAAACCCUGAAUAUUAGUGUCGUCUGAGUACUAUAUAAUAGUUUAAACUUUCAACAACGGAUCUCUUGGUUCUG
rnacentral:misc_RNA from 1 species